GACGAACGCUGGCGGCGUGCCUAAUACAUGCAAGUCGAGCGGACAGAUGGGAGCUUGCCCCUGAUGUUAGCGGCGGACGGGUGAGUAACACGUGGGUAACCUGCCCGUAAGACUGGGAUAACCUCCGGGAAACCGGGGCUAAUACCGGAUGGUUGUUUGAACCGCAUGGUUCAAACAUAAAAGGUGGCUUCGGCUACCACUUACAGAUGGACCCGCGGCGCUAUUAGCUAGUUGGUGAGGUAACGGCUCACCAAGGCAACGAUGCGUAGCCGACCUGAGAGGGUGAUCGGCCACACUGGGACUGAGACACGGCCCAGACUCCUACGGGAGGCAGCAGUAGGGAAUCUUCCGCAAUGGACGAAAGUCUGACGGAGCAACGCCGC
rnacentral:rRNA from 1 species